UACGUAGGGUGCAAGCGUUAUCCGGAAUUACUGGGCGUAAAGAGCUCGUAGGCGGUUUGUCGCGUCUGCUGUGAAAACCCGAGGCUCAACCUCGGGCCUGCAGUGGGUACGGGCAGACUAGAGUGCGGUAGGGGAGAUUGGAAUUCCUGGUGUAGCGGUGGAAUGCGCAGAUAUCAGGAGGAACACCGAUGGCGAAGGCAGAUCUCUGGGCCGUAACUGACGCUGAGGAGCGAAAGCGUGGGGAGCGAACAGG
rnacentral:rRNA from 1 species